rnacentral:rRNA from 1 species
AGCGAACGCUGGCGGCAGGCCUAACACAUGCAAGUCGAGCGCCCCGCAAGGGGAGCGGCAGACGGGAGAGUAACACGUGGGAACGUACCCUUCAGUUCGGAACAACCAAGGGAAACUUUGGCUAAUACCGAAUACGUCCGUAAGGAGAAAGAUUUAUCGCUGAAGGAUCGGCCCGCGUCUGAUUAGCUAGUUGGUGGGGUAAUGGCCCACCAAGGCGACGAUCAGUAGCUGGUCUGAGAGGAUGAUCAGCCUCACUGGGACUGAGACACGGCCCAGACUCCUACGGGAGGCAGCAGUGGGGAAUAUUGGACAAUGGGCGCAAGCUUGAUCCAGCCAUGCCGCGUGGAUGAUGAAGGCCCUAGGGUUGUAAAGUCCUUUCGGCGGGGAAGAUAAUGACGGUACCCGCAGAAGAAGCCCCGGCUAACUUCGUGCCAGCCGCCGCGGUAAAAC